rnacentral:rRNA from 1 species
GCUUGUCUCAAAGAUUAAGCCAUGCAUGUCUAAGUACGAACCGAGAGAAGGUGAAACCGCGAAUGGCUCAUUAAAUCAGUUAUGGUUCCUUAGAUCGUACCCUGUUACUUGGAUAACUGUGGUAAUUCUAGAGCUAAUACAUGCAUCAGAGCUCCGACCUUCCGCCCGCUUCUCGAGAGAGAGUGAGGCGGCGGGAAAGAGCGCGUUUAUGAGACCUAAACCACUCGGACCCUUAAGAAAGGUCCGUCAAUUCCAGUGGUGAAUCUGUAUAACUUUUGGCCGAUCGCACGGGCUCGUCCCGGCGACGCAUCUUUCAAGUGUCUGCCUUAUCAACUGUCGAUGGUAAGUCACGCGCUUACCAUGGUCGUAACGGGUGACGGGGAAUCAGGGUUCGAUUCCGGAGAGGGAGCCUGAGAAACGGCUACCACAUCCAAGGAAGGCAGCAGGCGCGCAAAUUACCCACUCCCGGCACGGGGAGGUAGUGACGAAAAAUAACGAUACGGGACUCUUUUGAGACCCCGUAAUCGGAAUGAGCACAGCCCAAAUCCUUUAGCGAGGAUCGAUUGGAGGGCAAGUCUGGUGCCAGCAGCCGCGGUAAUUCCAGCUCCAAUAGCGUAUAUUAAAGUUGUUGCGGUUAAAAAGCUCGUAGUUGGAUCUCUGUUCCGGACGGGCGGUCCGCCUAACGGCGGUCUACUGUCCCGGUCUCGGAAACAUCUCUGCCGGUUUCCCCCGAUGGCCUUCACCGGCUGUCCCGGGCGACCGGCACGUUUACUUUGAAAAAAUUAGAGUGCUCAAAGCAGGCAAUAUUAGCCCGGAUAAUGGUGCAUGGAAUAAUGGAAUAAGACUCCGGUCCUAUUUCGGUUGGUUUUUGAUAUGAAGGACACGAAGUAAUGAUUAAGAGGGACGGACGGGGGCAUUCGUAUUGCGGCGCUAGAGGUGAAAUUCUUGGACCGUCGCACGACGAACUACUGCGAAAGCAUUUGCCAAGAAUGUUUUCAUUAAUCAAGAACGAAAGUCAGAGGUUCGAAGGCGAUCAGAUACCGCCCUAGUUCUGACCAUAAACGAUGCCAACCGGCGAUCCGCCCGAGUUCCUCAAAUGACUCGGCGGGCAGCUUCCGGGAAACCAAAGUGUUUGGGUUCCGGGGGAAGUAUGGUUGCAAAGCUGAAACUUAAAGGAAUUGACGGAAGGGCACCACCAGGAGUGGAGCCUGCGGCUUAAUUUGACUCAACACGGGAAAACUUACCCGGCCCGGACACCGGAAGGAUUGACAGAUUAAGAGCUCUUUCUUGAUUCGGUGGGUGGUGGUGCAUGGCCGUUCUUAGUUGGUGGAGCGAUUUGUCUGGUUAAUUCCGAUAACGAACGAGACUCUAGCCUGCUAAAUAGGCGUUCAUUUCCGAUCACUUAUAAAGUCGGACGCUCUUUCUUCUUAGAGGGACAGGCGGCGUUUAGCCGCACGAGACAGAGCAAUAACAGGUCUGUGAUGCCCUUAGAUGUCCGGGGCCGCACGCGCGCUACACUGAAGCGAUCAGCGUGUGUUUUCCCCCGUCCGAGAGGACUGGGUAACCCGUUCAACCUGCUUCGUGCUAGGGAUAGGAGAUUGUAAUUCUUCUCCUUGAACGAGGAAUUCCCAGUAAGCGCGAGUCAUAAGCUCGCGUUGAUUACGUCCCUGCCCUUUGUACACACCGCCCGUCGCUACUACCGAUUGAAUGAUUUAGUGAGGUCUUCGGACCGGCGCUCGGAGCUGCUUCCCUAUCAAACGGGGGUACGCGCCGCCGCGCCGGAAAGAUGCCCGAACUUGAUCAUUUAGAGGAAGUAAAAG